CCUACGGGAGGCACCAGUGGGGAAUAUUGGACAAUGGGCGAAAGCCUGAUCCAGCAAUGCCGCGUGUGUGAAGAAGGUCUUCGGGUUGUAAAGCUCUUUCACCGGUGAAGAUAAUGACGGUAACCGGAGAAGAAGCCCCGGCUAACUUCGUGCCAGCAGCCGCGGUAAUACGAAGGGGGCUAGCGUUGUUCGGAAUUACUGGGCGUAAAGCGCGCGUAGGCGGAUAGAUAAGUCAGAGGUGAAAUCCCGGGGCUCAACCCCGGAAUUGCCUUUGAUACUGUUUAUCUUGAGUGCAGAAGAGGUAAGUGGAAUUCCGAGUGUAGAGGUGAAAUUCGUAGAUAUUGGGGAGAACACCGGUGGCGAAGGCGGCAACCUGGCUCGAUACUGACGCUGAGGCGCGAAAGCGUGGGGAGCAAACAGGAUUAGAUACCCGAGUAGUC
rnacentral:rRNA from 1 species